rnacentral:pre_miRNA from 1 species
AUAAUACUCCCUCCGUCCGGAAUUACUUUUCAUCAAAAUGGAUGUGUCUAGAACUAAAAUACAUCUAGAUACAUCCAUUCCAAUGACAAGUAUUUUCGGACGGAGGGAGUAGUAG